UUUUAGCAGAAGGCUUAGCCUAAUACUGACCGAUACUGAAAUGCUAGCAGGAGAAGAACGUUCUGGGGGGACUCUGGGGAGCUAAGCUAAGUAGUAGGUGGAAUGUAGUUCAUCUACUGAGGGGCAAAUUCAAAUGUCAUGCCUUCCAGAAGCCUUCCAUGGUCCCCGCAGCCUCAUAUGACCCUUCCUUUCCCCCAUCCCUUAUCCCACUCUGAUUGCUAUGAUCACUGUCUAGCUUCAUCUGUGGGUAUUCUUUCUUUCCACCGGGCUGUGAACUCCCCAAGGACAGUAACUACAGCCAAGUGACACAGAGAAGCUGCUCAAUAAAUAUUUGCUGAAUGCGUGAAUGACGUGCCCGGUCUCAAAUGACUCUGCAAAGUCUCUUCAAUUAAUGACGCCAUGAAGAGAUUGCCAUGGGCCCCACGGCCUGGCCUACCCUUUGGGCCUUUCAUCGUCUAAUCUGUGAUGUGGUUGGCUGUCCGUAUGUGAAUAUCUCUAAGGUCCCUGUCAGCACAGACGGUACCACUGCUGAAAAAGGAAAAUCAAAGACCUAUUCCAGCUGCUCUCAUCUGACAGAAGAGGAAAUAGGCCCAAUUAAGGCCCUUUCUUGCUGCAGGUAUCAUAGGAAACACACGAGGCCAGUGCAGGUUCCGGGCUGCUAGAGAGACUAUUGUUUCAUUUUCAAUUGUGUGGUGGCAGGACACUGAGCGGAGGAGGAUAAAUUGGGAUGGAUGGGAAGGCAGCUGUGGCCCAGUCUACACCAAAUAUAGGUGGAUACUUCUACUCUGAGGAGCAACCCAGUCUACCAGAAUCAGCUGGUGUUUGAAUCCCACUCCACCACUGAAUGGCCUUGGACAAGUCACUUUGGCACCCAUGAAAUGAGGACAGCAACACCUACGGCAUCAGAUUACGGUAAAGCUAAAUGUAUGAUGCAUACAAAGUACCUAAGAUGAUAUUUGGUACAUAGUAAGUGCUCAAUACAUAGUAGCUGCUCUCAUUAAAACGAAGCCCAAAUCCCACGAGAUGCAAUCAUAAGGAAAGCUUUCAACAUUUUU